GCAGUGGAGAGUGGCUGUCAUUUGAGGCCAAAGAAGUUGAGUUCAAAUCCCAGCUAUGCCAGGUCAUAGCUGUGAAGUCUUCAGCAAGUCACUUAACCUCUCUGAACCUCUGCUUUCUCAUUUGAGAAAUGGGAUAUUGUUCAAGGAUGAAGCAUUUACGAUUAAGUCAAUCAUCUGGGAAACUGUGAAGCUAGGCAAAGGGACCCUUCUAGAGGAACCACCUCGACAACAGGUCUGCCUCCUUCUUAAAACUACAAGAUAUAGGCUCCAAGAAUUGGACUCUGGGCUGCACAGCUGGCUAAGAUGCAGGUGGUGUGAUGGGUGUCCAGGGAGGACAAGCCCCCAGCCACAGAGGUGGCACAGGACCAGAGAAGAGAAGCCGGCAUCCCAAGAAGGAUGAGUGGCAACUGGCCAAUGGAAGAGGUGCUGGGAGACGGUUGUUCCAGCAGCCGGAACAGCAAGUGCUAAGGCUCUGAGCUCCCCUGCUGCCCGCCCACCCCUGAAACCAGGCAUCCAGCUGCCUCCUCUGGGCUUGGCUGUGUCCUUUCAUCCUCCUGCUUCUCAGUCAGAAGAACAAGACAACGAGAAGGGACACUGGACACUGGGAACCUCAAAAGGAGAGUGAGGGAGCCGGAGGCCAGAUACCUACCACCCUCCACUCAUCUCCACUCAGCUCUGCUUUCUGAGGACAGAAGUGCCUGGGAGGCAGGGCUGGUCACUAUUGGUGGGCAGUGCAGGGGGGUCUAGGACUGAAGGGUCCUGGGCCCAGUCCCCACUCAGCCCCUGUGGGCCCUGGUGGCUGUGCUCAGGCCUGGGGGAGCCUCUGGGCUGGGGGUGGGGGUGAGGUGCUGUACAGAGAGAGAUGGAACCAGG